UGUAGGAGUGAGCCUGCUCGCGAUAGCGAUGUGUCAGUCAAUCAAUAGGUGACUGAUCGAUUGCUAUCGCGAGCAGGCUCACUCCUACA
rnacentral:antisense_RNA from 1 species